AACAGAUUCUCUGAGUACUAAUGAACACAUCCCUCGUUUCUUCUUGUCAUCCAGGGAGAGAUCGGACGACCAGGGUCAAAGGGUCGUACUGGUCCUCCCGGGUUACCAGGUAGACACGGACCAGCUGGAUGGCCCGGUCCAGAGGGACCCAACGGACAGAAAGGAGACCCAGGAUUGAUGGGUCUGCCGGGGUUGAGAGGACCACAUGGGGCAAAGGUCUGUA